rnacentral:rRNA from 1 species
UGGGGAAUAUUGGACAAUGGGGGAAACCCUGAUCCAGCCAUGCCGCGUGAGUGAUAAGGCCUUAGGGUUGUAAAGCUCUUUCGCCGAUGAAGAUAAUGACUGUAGUCGGAGAAGAAGCCCCGGCUAACUUCGUGCCAGCAGCCGCGGUAAUACGAAGGGGGCUAGCGUUGUUCGGAAUCACUGGGCGUAAAGCGUGCGUAGGCGGCGUACCAAGCCAGGGGUGAAAUCCCGGAGCUCAACUCCGGAACUGCCUUUGGAACUGGUAUGCUGGAAUACUGGAGGGGAUAGCGGAAUUCCUAAUGUAGAGGUGAAAUUCGUAGAUAUUAGGAGGAACACCGGUGGCGAAGGCGGCUAUCUGGACAGUUAUUGACGCUGAGGCACGAAAGCGUGGGGAUCAAAC